UCCUACGGGAGGCAGCAGUGGGGAAUAUUGCACAAUGGGCGCAAGCCUGAUGCAGCAACGCCGCGUGCGGGAUGACGGCCUUCGGGUUGUAAACCGCUUUCAGCAGGGACGAAGUGAAAAUGACGGUACCUGCAGAAGAAGCACCGGCUAACUACGUGCCAGCAGCCGCGGUGAUACGUAGGGUGCGAGCGUUGUCCGGAUUUAUUGGGCGUAAAGAGCUUGUAGGCGGUCUGUCACGUCGAAAGUGCAAACUCAGGGCUUAACCCUGAGCCUGCUUUCGAUACGGGCUGACUAGAGGAAGGUAGGGGAGAAUGGAAUUCCCGGUGGAGCGGUGGAAUGCGCAGAUAUCGGGAGGAACACCAGUGGCGAAGGCGGUUCUCUGGACCUUUCCUGACGCUGAGAAGCGAAAGCGUGGGGAGCAAACAGGCUUAGAUACCCUGGUAGUCCACGCCGUAAACGGUGGGUACUAGGUGUGGGGGACAUUCCACGUUCUCUGUGCCGUAGCUAACGCAUUAAGUACCCCGCCUGGGGAGUACGGCCGCAAGGCUAAAACUCAAAGGAAUUGACGG
rnacentral:rRNA from 1 species